GUAGUUCAAAGUAAUACAAUUAAUUUUAAUGUUGAGUCACCAAAGAUGUUGUUAGCUUUGGCUUACAGUACAACUUACUGAUUCAGAAUUUUAUUUUAAACUGAACUUUAAGUUGGUUGAACAGAAGAACAAGAACUAGCUUGUGUAGAAGAUACACUGAAGAUUUCAGAUCAGGAGAAGUGCCAACCUGCUGAGAUGUCAGCCCACACAUUGCUAACUCAGGACUGGAAAAACUCGUUGUUCUCACGAGAGUGAGGGCCGCAGUGACCUCACCAGAUGCCUGAAGUACGGAAACAGCUCUGCCAAUACCAUUACUUUUCAGAGCCACUGUAAAAGAUUUUGUUAUUUUUGCAGAAGUUCUGCAAUGUUAGAACUACAGGACUUCAGUUAGAUUGUAAGGCAUGAGAGCACUCAAUUUUCUAUGUAUUGAAAAAAGAAAGGUUAAUGGGCUAUUUUAAUACUGCAGAAGAAUCGUCUUAGUCUUGAAAAUGGCUACAGCUACUGAAGAGACUAACCUGAGGUUUCUGUAUGAACUAGGAUAUUUGAGUACAGAUACAUGAAAUAUAAUGAGUUUAAUAGCUGGUGAGAACAGAAUCUAAAGGGGAAAAAAAAAAGGCAAGCUCCUGGCCAAGUUAGCAAGCAGUUCUGCUGGCACCUCAUCUUCAGAGGGUACCUCAGAGAGCAGCACCCGGCAGAUUACUUCUCAGGGCCUUUGUGCAGCCAUUGUAGGAAACACCACGGAUUCCAGAGGAAAUAACCACUCCCUCACACCACCUUUCAGCGGCCCUCGAGCACCACGCCUGGCCUGUACCUAGCGGGAAGUGCUGACAGCCG
rnacentral:lncRNA from 1 species